AAAGAGAAGGCAGUAGAGAUUUAAUUCAUGAACAUAGGUUUUGUUGGUAAUGAAUUGCUUGAUUCAUGUCUUUGAGUUUCUGUGUAUAGCAUUUGGAAUUUGGACUUGAUUUAGUAUUGUUUUUUUAACAGAAAUGUUUCUGGAAACUUUCAUAUAUGUAGUAUGGUUUUGAAUUAAGUUUUUCUUUAGAGACCAUGUGUUUACUUCGGUACAUAUUUUUAAACCUUGUUUCAGGUUUAGUAGGCAUGGAUCUGUAUGGUCCUUCUUUACUCAUCAAGUGGGUAUAAAUUAGGGAACUAGGGAUGUAAUAGGUGAAGGGGAAUCAAAUGGAGGAAAUCCUGAUAUUAAGAGCAUUGACAUAAUUGCAGGGAGCUUGGCCAGUGGUGGAAUCAGCCUCGAAAAGCAUGGCAUUUCAUGCACUCUCAAUCUGG
rnacentral:lncRNA from 1 species